UACGAAGGGGGCUAGCGUUGCUCGGAAUCACUGGGCGUAAAGGGUGCGUAGGCGGGUCUUUAAGUCAGGGGUGAAAUCCUGGAGCUCAACUCCAGAACUGCCUUUGAUACUGAAGAUCUUGAGUUCGGGAGAGGUGAGUGGAACUGCGAGUGUAGAGGUGAAAUUCGUAGAUAUUCGCAAGAACACCAGUGGCGAAGGCGGGUUGCUGGGCUGAUACUGACGCUGAGGCGCGAAAGCUAGGGGAGCGAACGGGG
rnacentral:rRNA from 1 species